GUGUCAGCAGCCGCGGUAAUACGUAGGUGGCAAGCGUUGUCCGGAAUUAUUGGGCGUAAAGCGUGCGCAGGCGGAUACUUAAGUGAGAUGUGAAAUCCCCCGGCUUAACUGGGGGGCGGCAUUGGAAACUGGGUGACUAGAGUGCAGGAGAGGAAAGUAGAAUUCCUAGUGUAGCGGUGAAAUGCGUAGAGAUUAGGAAGAAUACCAGUGGCGAAGGCGGCUUUCUGGACUGCAACUGACGCUGAGGCACGAAAGCAUGGGGAGCAAACAGGAUUAGAUACCCUGGUAGUCCAUGCCGUAAACGAUGAGUGCUAAGUGUUAGGGGGUUUCCGCCCUUUAGUGCUGCAGUUAACGCAUUAAGUAUUCCGCCUGGGGAGUACGACCGCAAGGUUGAAACUCAAAGGAAUUGGCGG
rnacentral:rRNA from 1 species